AUGACACAGGUGUUGGGGCUAUAGAGUUUAUUAUAUGCCAUUUAGAGGUCUCAGUUGCACUUGCAGAAGAGAAGAAGAUACCUGAGCUAUUCAAGACAUUUCCAAAUGCAACAAAGUAUCUCAAGAGAUCAAACUCAGAGCUUUGAACUUCCUAUUAAGAAAAGGAUGUAUACAUAUCUUACCUUCCACUCGCACAUACUUUUUUUAGGACCAUUGAGGAGAUAUUCAUAAGGCAUGGUGCUUCAAUUGGUUUCUGGCGUGGGG